AAUGAGGCUCCCGGAACCGGGUGGGUGGGGCCCCGCGGGAGCUUCGUCCUGGGGAGAGCUCAGCGGCUGCUGGUAUUGAGGGUCGUGUGCGGCUGUGGGUGUACCUGCAGGUGGGAUUCGUAUGUCACCGGCCUCGCUGGGCCGGGUUCGUGACGUCAGAAAACAUGAAGGUAGCUGAAUCCAGGCCAGAACUAACAUUUGCUCAAGAUUGGGUCUCAAAAAGUCAAAAUACCACCUUGGCUCCCUUACCAACUGAUAAAACACAUGCUGUUUCUCAACCUCUUCCACCUGCAGCUUUCCGAUGCUGCUCGUUCAUUACCACCUGAAGGUGCCUCACUUUUGUUCAGUUACUGACUUCCCAGUAAAUGUUGCCAGUACUAGAAGCUGCAAUUGGACUAUUUUGUUGCUCUACAUAAACAGAGCCUUAAUCUAGCUUUAAGGCUCAAAGAAAGACUCUACAGGUGUCCACUUGGACUUCACUGCCUUCGAGAAGACUCUGCUGGUUCUUCUUAGACCAGGUUAUGUGCCCUUUCAUGUACUCCUUACCUUGGUACUUAUCAGAAUCAUAACUGAAGACCAAAACCACCAAGUACUCCUGCCGCUGCCCUGCCGCCUUUACUGAGAGGCACCCCUGACAGGGCAUGUCACAAGUCUGGCCAAUGAAGUAUGAAGGACAAUCGGCUGUGUGCUUCAGGUCAAGAAGAAUGAAGACAAAGAAAAGGUCAAAAGCCUUGAUGAUUAGGAAGUUCUUAACGUUUUCAAGAAGGCCUGACCACACCGGGGGGUAGAGGAAAAGGAACCAAUGGAGAAGAAGGGCUGAAGGGGCAGGAGAAGGAGGCCCUCACUGAUGGAACAGGUUCUGGAGGACAUGGGAGAAGAUGUGCUGUUUGGUUUCCCUCUGUUGUCUGCUCCUUGAGUUCCGGGUGAAUUGAGGGCUUUGAGGACCGAUCGAUGGCCAGACUGAGCUGAUGUAAUCACUGCUACAAGGACCAGCUACCUCACUUGCAGGGCCCAGUGAAAAAUGAAAAUGCGGGGGGCCUUGUUCAGAAAUAUAGAAAUCCAAAAUGGCAGCAGUGUUAGGCUAAGUUGGAGCCUUUCUCAGCACAGGACUCUAUGCAACUUCAUGGGCCACAUGCCCAUGAAGCCUGGCCUGCUUGGCAUCACUUUCUUUGAUGAAAAGCACUUAGCCUACAUGGUUUCCAGCAUGCUGUUGGCACUUGCGAAUAGAAGGAUGGAUGGAUUGGAAUGGAAUGGAAUAGAUGGACACAUAGAUGGAUGGAUGGACAGACAAAUGAUGGGGAAAAAAAUAAAGUUGAAAAGGUACAAGAACCAGGUCAAAGUGCCCUGUAUAUCCUGGAACAGAAUUUGGAUUUUAUCCUAAAGGCAAUUGAAGACCAGGAAGUAUUUUAAAUGGAAGUAUGACAACAUCCCUAAUUGGAUUUUUGAAAGAUGGGGAUACAAAGGAGCCUAGAGAGACCAGUUUAGAAUCUGCAAUAGAUCAAGCAAGAAGAUGGAGAGGGGGUGGAGAGAAGAUUGGUUCGAGAGAUAAUUAGGGGAUUGAACUAUGAGAACUUUAUUAAUCAAUAGGAAUGGGUAGGAUGAUUUCCAGGUUUCUGUCUUGGAUCAUUGAUGCCAAUCACUGAUCAGAAGAUAAGAAUAAGGAGCAGGUUUUGAGGAUAAAUAACACGUGAGGUCCUUCCUUUGUGCUCAGUGGCAAUUUCAAAUCUGCUCACUUUUCUCAAGCUUCACCAAAGAUGCCCAGCAGAGAAUCUCACUUGUUUUCUCCUUCAGGGAAAGUCAUAGUCAUCAAGCAAGAAUCUCUCCACCUCCUUACUGCCGGUGACUAACCUGUCUGCAUCCUUCUCCUUCAGUCCUUGGUAGAGGAGGUUCCUCCCCAGGUCUCCUCCAACCCUGUGCCCCAGGACCUCACCCACAGUAAAGCCUCUUCUUAGACCUUUAACCUGGCCCUCUCCACUCUUCUCCACAGCAUAUAGCUUUCAAAUGUCUCCUGAAUUAAAAAGAACCUUCUUCCACGUGUUGCCUAUUCCUUGCUUUUCUUUAACAACUGGCUUUCUACUUGUAGUACAUUUUUGUUGUGAAAAGCUCAAAAAUACAUAUGAAGGAGAUGAAAACGAAGUUACAUGGAAUUCUACUAUCCAGAAAUAGUUCUUGCUGAUAGGCUGGCAUAUUUCUUUCUAGUAAUUUUUCUAUGCAGAUAUGCCUGCAUGCAUAAAUGAGUAUUUUAUACUUUUCACUUCAAACUACAAGCAUUUUCCAUGUUUUAAAAAAAAAUGCCAUUGACAUUUUAAAUGAUGUGUAAAUAAUCUAUUGUCUGGCUAUACCAAAAUUUAUUUGAUUAAAUCUUACCAUUGCACUUUUAAAUUUUUCUACUAUUUUUGUCAAGUUUAUGUACUAUAAACGCUUUUACUCACAUUUCAGAUUGUUUCCUUCAGAUAGAUUUCUAAAAUUGGGAUUCUUACGUCAAAGAGUAUGAACGUCUUUAAAGUUUUUGAUACAUAUUCCCAAAUUGCUUUCCAGAUAGGUUGCACCAAAAUACAUUGCUAUUCAUUCUGCCUUUGCCAGGCUUAUCAUUCUUAAGACUGAAAAAGAAUCUUUUAUCUAAUGAUCAAAAACGAUAUCUGGUUUUUUUUAUUCUGUAUUUCUUCAAUUAAAAGUGAAGCUGGACACUGAACUAUACACUUAAAAAUGGUUAAGAUGGUAAAUUUUAUGUUAUGUGUAUUUUACCACAAUAAAAAAUUUUUUUGGAAAAAAAAGUGAAG